AAGACGAAAUCUGAAUCUGUUUUUCUUUCCACGGAGCAUCGAGUUGCUUGUACACUACGCUGUUAUUUCAGCUUUGUUUUUACUAGUAAUAUUCAUCGCUCAUAUGGAAUUGUACAUAUCUGAAGCGGGACGGAUUGAAGGUGUUCCAGAAGAUACAUGGCAGGCCUGCAGGCGGUGACGAGACACACGUUCGCAAUGUGAUAUAAUUACUUCUCACCUGGUCUUGGAGUUAGAUCGCUUAGACUUUGUACCGUUGUUCAGGAAAUGUGUCGACUUCAGCUUAGUUUUGUUUUGAGAGAAAUCUAACAAUAACAAAACAGUUUCAUAUAGAAAAGCGAAGCCAAAACAAACAUUGUGGUGGCAAAACAACAAGUCCAUAAAGGUAAAAUUACGUAAUGAUAAGGCCGAGUGGUGGCCGCCAGCGUUUCGAUUUCACAGACAGACACACAGACUGGCCUGGCUCGGGCUUAGCUCAGACUGACUUCAAAACAAACCUUCGGAAAAUCUUGUUGCAUAGGCAUUCACAUAAACAGUGGAAAUUGUUUAUUUUCAGUGCGUUUUCCUCCGACAUGCCCGACUUUUGCAUUGUAGUUUUGCUUUUGAUAUUGUUAUUUUUAUGAUUUUACUCGGUUGCAACUGUCUGCCUCGGAUUACUAUGCUAUGCAAUUAAGAGAGAAAUUGGGACAUGGUUGGUGACAUAACUGAAUUACAUGCAAGGUAUGUCAUCACGAAGUUAGUCGUAACACCAGCCGUUGGACGGGUAAAUAAGUCAAACUAAAAAAUAGUUCUACAUGCAUGAACACCGAAUAAAGUAUAAUUUAAG